rnacentral:rRNA from 1 species
CCUACGGGUGGCAGCAGUGGGGAAUAUUGGACAAUGGUCGAAAGCCUGAUCCAGCCAUGCCGCGUGUGUGAAGAAGGCCUUCGGGUUGUAAAGCACUUUCAGUGGGGAAGAAAGCCUUGGGGCUAAUACCCUCGAGGAAGGACAUCACCCACAGAAGAAGCACCGGCUAACUCCGUGCCAGCAGCCGCGGUAAUACGGAGGGUGCGAGCGUUAAUCGGAAUUACUGGGCGUAAAGCGCGCGUAGGCGGUCUGAUAAGCCGGUUGUGAAAGCCCCGGGCUCAACCUGGGAACGGCAUCCGGAACUGUCCGGCUAGAGUGCAGGAGAGGAAGGUAGAAUUCCCGGUGUAGCGGUGAAAUGCGUAGAGAUCGGGAGGAAUACCAGUGGCGAAGGCGGCCUUCUGGACUGACACUGACGCUGAGGUGCGAAAGCGUGGGUAGCAAACAGGAUUAGAUACCCGAGUAGUC